UACGUAGGUGGCGAGCGUUGUCCGGAUUUACUGGGCGUAAAGCGCGCGCAGGCGGGCUGGUCAGUCCGGGGUGAAAUCUCACGGCUCAACCGUGAGCGGUCCCCGGAUACUGCCAGUCUUGAGGUGUCUAGAGGAGGGCGGAAUUCCCGGUGUAGUGGUGGAAUGCGUAGAUAUCGGGAAGAACACCAGUGGCGAAAGCGGCUCUCUGGGGACCACCUGACGCUGAGGCGCGAAAGCGUGGGGAGCGAACCGG
rnacentral:rRNA from 1 species